rnacentral:rRNA from 1 species
AUUGAACGCUGGCGGCAGGCCUAACACAUGCAAGUCGAGCGGAUGAAGGGAGCUUGCUCCUGGAUUCAGCGGCGGACGGGUGAGUAAUGCCUAGGAAUCUGCCUGGUAGUGGGGGAUAACGUCCGGAAACGGGCGCUAAUACCGCAUACGUCCUGAGGGAGAAAGUGGGGGAUCUUCGGACCUCACGCUAUCAGAUGAGCCUAGGUCGGAUUAGCUAGUUGGUGGGGUAAAGGCCUACCAAGGCGACGAUCCGUAACUGGUCUGAGAGGAUGAUCAGUCACACUGGAACUGAGACACGGUCCAGACUCCCACGGGAGGCAGCAGUGGGGAAUAUUGGACAGUGGGCGAAAGCCUGAUCCAGCCAUGCCGCGUGUGUGAAGAAGGUCUUCGGAUUGUAAAGCACUUUAAGUUGGGAGGAAGGGCAGUAAGUUAAUACCUUGCUGUUUUGACGUUACCAACAGAAUAAGCACCGGCUAACUUCGUG